rnacentral:tRNA from 1 species
GCGGAUGUGAUGAAACGGUAUACAUGCAUGAUUUAGGAUCAUGUGCCCGAAAAGGCGUGGAGGUUCGAUUCCUCUCAUCCGCA